rnacentral:rRNA from 1 species
UUAAGCAUAUUAAUAAGCGGAGGAAAAGAAACUAACAAGGAUUCCCCCAGUAACGGCGAGCGAAGCGGGAACAGCUCAAAUUUGAAAUCUCCGGUGCCUGCACCGGCGAAUUGUAGUCUGUAGGGCCAGUUUCGCCCGAGACAGCGUCCCCAAAGUCGUCCUGGAAAGGCGAGCCGGAGAGGGUGAGAGCCCCGUACGCGGGGGCGCUGUCGAGGGUAAGAUCUGUGCCCGAAGAGUCGGGUUGUUUGGGAUUGCAGCCCAAAAUGGGUGGUAAACUCCAUCUAAAGCUAAAUACCGGCACGAGACCGAUAGCGAACAAGUACCGUGAGGGAAAGAUGAAAAGCACUUUGAAAAGAGAGUCAAACAGUACGUGAAACCGUCAGGGGGGAAACGAACGAGGUUGGUGCAGUGCUCGUGCAGGUUCAAGCCCGGCCGAGGGUUGCCGACGCGGCGGCGGAGACCGUCCCGUGCCGGCCGCCCGAGGCAGUGCCGUACUCCUCGCGAGCGCGGACCAGCGGCGGUUAGACCGGAGCGACAAGGCGACAGCGGAAGGUGAGUCGAUGAGGGCACGUCCCGCAUCGACAGCUUACAGCCCUGGCGUACGAUGCUCCGGUGCGACCGAGGAACAUGGGCAGCCCUUGCCCGCCGUGGCGCACGCCGCAUGGCGGGGCCUCCCGACGCGAGUGAACCGUGCGGUGUGGACUGCGUGCAGUGCUCACCGUGGCGGAGAUCUCGCGCCGGAGAGCGCCACUUGUGCGCCAUCGCCGCUGGUAGUCGGAUGGCCUCGUCCGACCCGUCUU